GGUCUAUGGCUCAGCGGUAGAGUGCUCACCUAGAGCAUGUGAGGCCCUGGGUUCAAUCCUCAGCACCA
rnacentral:tRNA from 1 species